AUUGAACGCUGGCGGCAGGCCUAACACAUGCAAGUCGAACGAGUGGCGGACGGGAGAGGAAUGUCUGGGAAACUGCCUGAUGGAGGGGGAUAACUACUGGAAAAGGUAGCUAAUACCGCACACCAGCAAAUGGGCCCAGAUGGGAUUAGCUAGUAGGUGGGGUAACGGCUCACCUAGGCGCCGAGCCCUAGCUGGUCUGAGAGGAUGACCAGCCACACUGGAACUGAGACUCUGUCCAGACUCCUCCGGGAGGCAGCAUUGGGGAAUAUUUCACAAUGGGCGCAAGCCUGAUGCAGCCAUGCCGCGUGUAUGAAGAAGGCCUUCGGGUUGUAUAGUACUUUCAGCGGGGAGGCGUUACCCACAGAAGAAGCACCGGCUAACUCCGUGCCAGCAGCCGCGGUAAUGC
rnacentral:rRNA from 1 species